CAUUCAUGUGCCAUCGUGGGAGUGUACAGUCUUCAUUGAUCUUGCAGACACAUUCUUUGUAGUUCUUGCCAAACAGCUGCAUGCCGACCACAGCAAAAAUGAAGACGAUGAUGGCCAGCACCAAGAUUGGGAUCAUUCAACAUAUCUUCAGAAAGAAGCAUUAAAUGGCGGCGACUAUAAUGUUUGCCUCAUGAAUUGCUCUGAGUAUAUGAUGAUAAAUGACUCAGUUUGAAAAGGACAAUGGAGACUGACGGGAACUGUAGCAAAAUGGAGAAUGUAAGCUCCAUCUAAAGGAGGUGACCACUUUCCGCUCUAAAGGAUUGCUGCCAUGCAGGACUAUGAGCUCAGGCUUACCAGAUGUCUACAGCAUAUGGGAUGAGAAUUCCACGAAUGAGUUAAAGGUGUAUUUCUACAGAAGAGGUAUUGCAAGACACAGAGCCAUUCACAGGACCAAAGAAGGCCCCUCUAGCAGAGAGACUGACUGAUGCAAGAAUAAGGGUGGAGCCAUGCCUGAGCUAUUUUAAAACGUCCUUACGCUGUCAUCAGAAGUUGCCUUAUCUAUUAUCACCUCUGGCAGAAGCUGUCCAUUGGGGAGCAUGAGGGCUGAGGGUCCAUCAACCAGGGAGACCACACCAUUGCAGUCCACGGCACUGUGCAUCUUCC